rnacentral:rRNA from 1 species
GACGAACGCUGGCGGCGUGCUUAACACAUGCAAGUCGAACGGAAAGGCCCUGCUUUUGUGGGGUGCUCGAGUGGCGAACGGGUGAGUAACACGUGAGUAACCUGCCCUUGACUUUGGGAUAACUUCAGGAAACUGGGGCUAAUACCGGAUAGGAGCUCCUGCUGCAUGGUGGGGGUUGGAAAGUUUCGGCGGUUGGGGAUGGACUCGCGGCUUAUCAGCUUGUUGGUGGGGUAGUGGCUUACCAAGGCUUUGACGGGUAGCCGGCCUGAGAGGGUGACCGGCCACAUUGGGCCUGGGAUACGGCCCAGACUCCUACGGGGGGCAGCAGUGGGGAAUAUUGCACAAUGGGGGGAAGCCUGAGGCAGCAACGCCGCGGGGGGGAUGACGGCCUUCGGGUUGUAACCCGCUUUCGCCUGGGACGAAGCGUGGGUGACGGUAAUGGGAAAAGAAGCACCGGCUAACUACGU